UACGAGGGGGGCGAGCGUUGUUCGGAAUUAUUGGGCGUAAAGGGUGCGUAGGCGGUUUGGUAAGUCUCUUGUGAAAUCUCUGGGCUCAACUCAGAGUCUGCAAGGGAAACUGCCGGGCUUGAGUAUGGGAGAGGUGAGUGGAAUUCCUGGUGUAGCGGUGAAAUGCGCAGAUAUCAGGAGGAACACCGGUGGCGAAGGCGGGUCUCUGGGCCGAUACUGACGCUGAGACGCGAAAGCGUGGGGAGCAAACAGG
rnacentral:rRNA from 1 species